rnacentral:lncRNA from 1 species
AGUAACAGCUAGACAAAGCAAGAAUUGAAAGACAACAGAUGGUGCAUCAGGGAUUCAGGUGGAAGGUCUGACUGCCAUCACUCUGUCCCACCUCCUCCCCUAAAAGUCUUGUCAUGACUAGGUAUGACUUCCCAGCUUAGAGGAGAACACUCUCUAUGUGCUAUUAUUUAUAGUCAGCCCUUGUGGGAGAAUAGUCCCCCAAAGUUUCCAUGCUUUAAUCCCGGGAGCCUAUGAAUAUGUUACACUACAUGUUGAAAGAGACUUUGCAGAUGUAAUUAAGGUUACAGACUUUAAAAUAGGGAGAUUAUCCUGGCUUAUCUGGAUGGUCCCGAUCUCAUCACAUGAGCCCUUAAAGCAAAGAACUUUCUUCAACUGGAGACAGAGAGAUACUGCAGAAUGAAAAGCUAGAGAGAUUCCACGUGUGAGGUCAUUGCUGACUCUGAGAAGGCGGGGCGUAGGGUCAGGGAGCAGAAAGAGAUUUCAGCCCCCAGCUGACAGCCAGCAAAGAAGUGGAGACCUCAGUCUUACAACUGCAGGGAACUGAGUUCUUUGAACAACUUGGAUAAGCUUAGCAACCAAUUUUCAGAGCAAACUGAUGGGAGCUUAGCCAGUGCACACUUUCAUUUUGGCCUGUGAGACUUGGAGCAAAAAAACCUGCUGUGUCCAUGCGAGAUAAUAUGAGAUAUAUAUCUAACGGGUUUUAAAAUGUCCACAGGCCUUCAAAGAUAGGAGAAGUUUCUGAGCACACCCUUCUCUGUUAGAACAAGUUCAAAUGAAUUUCUCAGAGGCUCUUUGGGUAAGGGUCUAUGGCUUGAAGCAAACAAAGUGAGCCUGAGGUGGACUGGAAGCCGUCUGGAACCUCUUCAUUUUACUCAUCACCAUCAGUUGUAUGUCAAGCUUUCAGUAGUUCAUCAGGAAGAUAGCUGUUGGACAGUGUGCAAAGAUGUCCCUCAGAAUUCUAAUGUCAAGACUGUUUCCUCAAAAGGCCAAAAAAAGAAAAAGGUAGAAACAGUGCUGAAGUUCUAAACAAUGCGUUUUCUUCUCUGGAGUGGUCAACUUCAAUUAAAUGGAUGUUGUCAUGCAGGAGAGUUUCUCAGGAACAGCAGAGAUUGUUAAUCCUUAGACCGCAAAGCACAUGACCAAGGUGAUGGCUAAACUGGU